GGUGAACGCUGGCGGUAGGCCUAACACAUGCAAGUCGAACGGUAGCACAGUAAGAGCUUGCUCUUACGGGUGGCGAGUGGCGGACGGGUGAGGAAUACAUCGGACUCUACUUUUUCGUGGGGUAUAACGUAGGGAAACUUACGCUAAUACCGCAUACUACCUACGGGUGAAAGCAGGGGAUCUUCGGACCUUGCGCGAUUGAAUGAGCCGAUGUCGGAUUAGCUAGUUGGCGGGGUAAAGGCCCACCGAGGCGACGAUCCGUAGCUGGUCUGAGAGGAUGACAAGCAACAAGGGAAAGGAGAAAAGGCCAAGACUACUAGGGGAGGCAGCAGGGGGGAAUAUUGAACAAUGGGCGCAAGCCUGAUGCAGCAAUGCCGGGGGGAUGAAGAAGGCCUUGGGGUUGUAAAGUAUUUUUAGGGGGGAGGAAGGGAGGAAAGUAAAUACCUGGGAUCAUGGACGUUACCAAAAGAAGAAGCACCGGAUAACUCCGUG
rnacentral:rRNA from 1 species